rnacentral:rRNA from 1 species
GGGGAAUAUUGCGCAAUGGGGGCAACCCUGACGCAGCAAUACCGCGUGAGUGAAGAAGGUUUUCGGAUCGUAAAGCUCUGUUAUUGGGGAAGAAAACAUGACGGUACCCAAUGAGGAAGUCCCGGCUAACUACGUGCCAGCAGCCGCGGUAAUACGUAGGGGACAAGCGUUGUCCGGAAUGACUGGGCGUAAAGGGCGCGUAGGCGGUCUGAUAAGUCAGAUGUGAAAGGUACCGGCUCAACCGGUGACGUGCAUUUGAAACUGUCAGACUUGAGUAUUGGAGAGGCAAGUGGAAUUCCUAGUGUAGCGGUGAAAUGCGUAGAUAUUAGGAGGAACACCAGUGGCGAAGGCGGCUUGCUGGACAAAUACUGACGCUGAGGUGCGAAAGCGUGGGGAGCGAAC